rnacentral:tRNA from 1 species
AUUUAAAUAGUUUAAUAAAAAUAUUGAUUUGUGGUAUCAAAGAUAUAUAUAUAUAUAUAAUAUUUUAAAUU